GACGGAGGGGCUAGCGUUGUUCGGAAUGACUGGGCGUAAAGCGUGCGCAGGCGGCUAUGCAAGACAGAUGUGAAAUCCCCGGGCUCAACCUGGGAACUGCAUUUGUGACUGCAUGGCUAGAGUACGGUAGAGGGGAUGGAAUUCCGCGUGUAGCAGUGAAAUGCGUAGAUAUGCGGAGGAACACCGAUGGCGAAGGCAAUCCCCUGGACCUGUACUGACGCUCAUGCACGAAAGCGUGGGGAGCAAACAGG
rnacentral:rRNA from 1 species